CUUCAGCAGAUGGAGAAGGAGAGGUGGGAACUCCAGGAAGAAGAGACAGUUUUCUGAUGACUUGCCGGCCUCCAGUGUAGCCCACACCUCCUGGACUCUCCGUCGCCUCCCAGUUGCCUUUCAGCACAACCUCCACUGUUCUGGAGAGUGCGCUUAGGCUUGGACUUCUCCGAGCUCCAUUGCACAUGAAGUCAGUUUCUUCAAAAGCUACUCACACCUUCUGUUUUCUGCCUGCUGCUUUCCCAGGCAAACUCUCUGAGCCAGAGCUAUGGUGCUGGACACAGUGGUGCAUCUCUCUCUGGUGACACCUGCACAUCAGGAGCUGGGUGCUUGGUGAAUGGGGCAGUAGCCCCAGUGUUCAUCGGCUGUCCUCUCUUAGCAGGGAACCCCACCCCAUGAGCCAGGGAAGGGCGGCCGGGCCCCAGUAUUCUCAUGGGUGCUGCACUCAAGGCAGAGCCUCCAUCCCAUGAGUGGGGCCUGUGUGGAAGACAAGAGCCUCCACCUCUCAACCCACUUUCCUGGGCUGAGCAAGCGGUCUCAGCAAGCGGUAGCUGGUGGCAUGAUAAGAAAAGAUAACAUUCUGCCCCUCUUAGCAAGCAAAUCUCCCAGGCAGGAGCUAGGGGGUGAGGGAGUCCUGUGAUCUUGGAGAAAGCAGUCUGGAGUGGAGCCCCCCUCACUGGGGUGGGGAGUCAGGGAGGACGGGCAUCUUAUUUCACACACUGCAGGCCCUUGGUGUUCUUCCCAGGUGUUAGUAGGUUUUCUUAAUAAACGCUUCUUCAUUUGCUGUGUGCCCUUGGAAUCAUCCCAGAGAUUUUAUUUUAGUUUUUAUUUAUUUAUUUAUUUAUUUAAGACGGAAUUUUGCUCUUGACACCCAGGCUGGAAUGCAACGGCACGACCUUGGCUCACUGCAAC
rnacentral:lncRNA from 1 species